rnacentral:misc_RNA from 1 species
AUAAAGUUUAUUUACACAUAAGCUUUAAAUACGUGGGUUAGGGGAUUCUUGUCGCUAAGUUUAGUCCCUUUUGUCGCUGGUAAUUAUAGAGCGAAGUCUUAUCAGACUAAUUGAUUGAACUUUACUUUUCGAGAAAUCCCAUUGUCAGGAAUACGCUUCCUAUAUUUGUAAAUUUGCUAAAUUUCAGGCGGACUAUCAAUCAUUUAGAUUGCCUCCUAACUCAACAUUUAUAAAUUAAUACUUUUUAGAUUUUUAGUAAAUCGGUAAAUAUGCCGAUUUACUUUUUUAUG